UGUACAUAAACAUAUGCAUAAAAGUUUUGUUUUUAUCCUUCUGAUUAUGAGUAAACGUAGGUAGAUUCACUUUUAUAAUACCUGUCUAGUAAACAAAGAGCAGCUUUAUGUAAAUUCAAGUGAACAGUUCAAUCUCGUUUGCAGCUAUACAAGAAAGUAUUUUGAAGACAAUUUCUUCCAUCCUUAUGAAUCUUCUCAGUCAUUCUGAAUUCUCAGGUUUUCUUUGAUAAUGCUGGAGCCAAUCAACUCAAGUAGUCUUCCUAUGGUUAUAUACCAUUAACUGGAAACAGAAUCUAGUCUGUUUUAUGAACAUCACUGUUGCUUGUUUCAAAACUGCAGGGAUGAGCAAACCCUACGUCAGGCAACCCCUUGGAUUUCUAUCCAGGAACUGCCAGGCCUGCAAAAAUAAUCAUCGUUAUUUUUGUGUUAUUUUGUUAUAUAUACCCAACUGCAAGCAGAGUUACAACUAAUAUCAAAGUUAAGCAGAGAGUCCUUCCUCAAAAGCACCAGGCCAGUCUUUGAAGGGAUUCUCAGUAUGGAAAUAAUAACCCUGGAAAAGAGAGAGAAUGGACCCAAGAUGAAGCACUGUAGCAAGGAAUGGCAACUCUAUAGAAUUAAAUGACUCACUAUUUUCCAACUGGAGGUUCUGUUUUGGCAUCACAUUGGAGAGCCAAGUCUGCUAUGGAUUUCACUGGAAGGACAAAUCCUUUUUACAGUCAGCAGCUCUCUCUUCUGUGCCUUACUGUCAGUUCUGUCAGUUGAUCCCAUUGGAAGUACAUAACAAGUUUCUCCCUGUUCUUUUAUUAAAAACAUUUUUUUUUCUUUUUUUUGCACAAAAGGCACAGUACAAAAACCAAACAGUAUUCAAUGGUGUCAUAGAAAAGCACAAAGUGGCCUAAUCUUGCUAAACAGAGCUCUGACUGCUAAUCCCUUCCCAUGUUUGUCAGAGGUUAAACUCAUUAGCCAUUUGCCUGACCAUGGUCCCAAUUGCAUUAAUUUACGUGAUUAUAUUUCUGAUGACUGUACUUGUAAUACUCAAUUUCAAUGAGCCACAUUGCUAAAAGACUAAUUUUGCUCACUUUAGACUCAUUGGACUGUACCUGCAAGUGUUGGAAUGUGCACUGCUGGGAUGAAACAUCCAAUACAUUCCUGAGUUUCAUAUAAGUAAUACGCAAUGCUUGGUCAAACACGUAUGUCUGUGUGUGUACACACAUGUUGUUUUGCCUAGAACGAUGACGUUCGUUUGUCAAUCUAGCCCUAAGGUUUCUGUUUUGUUCCUGAGUCUUUGGUCUCUCAGGUAGAGUUUGAUGAGUGAAAUGUAUAUUAGGUUGAUGAUACAUGGUUAGAAAAGAAUGAUACAGCAAAAUUUCUGUGAGAAGCACGUGGUGGUGAGGGGCACUGUGUGUGUUCUGUGUUGGCUUCUGGACUUUGCUGCAAGUGACAGGAAGCACAGAGUGUGAGGGAAGGUCUACACUGAGGAUCUACCGUUUCUGCUUUCACAUCUACUACCUCUGGUCCAUGUUGUUUGGAAAAUACUGUUUUUCUUUGGUGAGGCCAGGAAGAGAUUUCAGAUUGUCACUGAAAACAUACCAAACCCCAAUCCUGUACACAAAAUGGUUGUUUUAUUGAUUAAUAGAAUUUAGGGCAGAAGAGGUAACUGGUUCAAGUCAUCCAUUUGUCUAUAUAUCACAUGACGGUAUUUGUCACUCAACAUCUGCAGGAUGAAACUGACGUUCCACAGAGAAGAAAUUGAGGUUGUCUGGAAUACAUGUCUUUGAGGAAGGUGCUUGGAUUUAAUUUAAAGUUGUCAGGAGACCUUAAUCUUAUCACAUUGUUUGCAAAUUUAUUUAAUUGCCCUCCUUGUUUCUCUUGUUAAUUUCAGUUUCCAACUAUCCCUUCUUAUUCUUCUUUUUCCAGUAGUUUAAAGCACUUUUUAGUACCCCUUAUUUUCUCUGUGGAAAGAUACUGAUGACUUUAAACAGGUUUUAAUUGUUUUUUAAAUGAUAUAAAGAGAUGGAGAUCUUAAAUUAUCUCAUUAUGAGGCAUUCAGAUUUCAACCUUUUUUGUGUCUCUUUUACUCUCCCUCUUUAUUUUUUUAUAGCUUUAUUUUUUUAUAACCGUACAGACAACCAAAGUGAAUCUUAUAUUCCAGUACCUGUCUUGCCUUUUCUCUGUACAGAAAUCAGGUGAUCUCCUAUCUCCUGCUAAUUAUGCCUGCCUCUACAUGCUCUUCUUGCCACAGUACUGCACAGGGAGCACUCAUGUUGACAUCCUUUUACACUCUGAGCCAUAGAUUCUUUUCAAAUUGCCUUCCAGCACAGUGUUGUAAGUAGAGCCUGCAUUCUUGUUCUGAAAUGUAUGAUUUUUCAAGUGACUGUAUUGGAAUAUGUAUUUAUACAGAUGUCUUGGUCACCAGCUCAUUUUUAUGACUCCCUUAUUUACAUUAUUUUAAUUCCACUGUUGUAUCAUAUGCAAAUUUUGUCAGGAAUGGCUUGCAUAUUUAUUUUCAGAUCAAUGAUAUUGACAAUCAUGGUUUCUCUUUGGAAUCACAGAAGAACACCCAUGUGAUUACAAUUCCUAGCAAAUAACUACUGUUCUUGAGAUCGUAGGUUAGCCAGUUUUAAUCUGUUUAAUAGCUGCUUUAUUCAUAUUGUAUGGUGCUAAUUUUAAAAUCAGAAUAUGGUAUGUUAAUUCAAACAUCUUGCAGAAUAUCAGACAGCAACAUUUAUCAACCUGACCUGUAAUCUGAUCAAAGAAUUAAAUUUGGUUUUC